UGGGGAAUAUUGCACAAUGGGGGAAACCCUGAUGCAGCGACGCCGCGUGAGCGAAGAAGGUUUUCGAAUCGUAAAGCUCUGUCCUAUGGGAAGAUAAUGACGGUAUCAUAGGAGGAAGCCCCGGCUAAAUACGUGCCAGCAGCCGCGGUAAUACGUAUGGGGCGAGCGUUGUCCGGAAUUAUUGGGCGUAAAGGGUACGUAGGCGGUCUAUUAAGUCAGGUGUGAAAGCGUGAGGCUUAACCUCAUUAAGCACUUGAAACUGAUAGACUUGAGUGAAGGAGAGGAAAGUGGAAUUCCUAGUGUAGCGGUGAAAUGCGUAGAUAUUAGGAGGAAUACCGGUGGCGAAGGCGACUUUCUGGACUUUUACUGACGCUCAGGUACGAAAGCGUGGGGAGCAAACAGG
rnacentral:rRNA from 1 species